AUACGUAGGUGGCAAGCGUUGUCCGGAUUUACUGGGCGUAAAGGGCGUGCAGGCGGUUCGUUAAGUUCGAGGUGAAAGCUCCCGGCUCAACUGGGAGAGGUCCUUGGAUACUGGCGGACUUGAGGGAGGCAGAGGAAAGUGGAAUUCCCGGUGUAGCGGUGAUAUACGUAGAUAUCUGGAGGAACAUCAGUGGCGAAGGCGACUUCCUGGAUCAAUACUGACGCUGAGGUGCGAAAGCGUGGGGAGCAAACAGGAGUAGAAACCCCGGUAGUCC
rnacentral:rRNA from 1 species